UCAGUUCUUCAUCCAACAUGGGUACUCCUGGGUCCAGGUCUCUGCUCUGUGAUGGACAAGCCUUUGCCACAACAGUGGAGUUGAAGCUGGGCCUGGAGUCCACACCUGCAUAUUCCUCUAGCUUCUUGGAGUCUUGUGGACAAUGGCUGAGGAGAAAUAAUGCAGACGACAUCU
ensembl:snoRNA SNORA73 Small nucleolar RNA SNORA73 family